rnacentral:rRNA from 1 species
AUGAACGCUGGCGGCGUGCCUAAUACCUGCAAGUCGCGCGAACAGACGAGGAGCUUGCUCCUCUGACGUUAGCGGCGGACGGGUGAGUAACACGUGGAUAACCUACCUAUAAGACUGGGAUAACUUCGGGAAACCGGAGCUAAUACCGGAUAAUAUAUUGAACCGCAUGGUUCAAUAGUGAAAGACGGUUUUGCUGUCACUUAUAGAUGGAUCCGCGCCGCAUUAGCUAGUUGGUAAGGUAACGGCUUACCAAGGCAACGAUGCGUAGCCGACCUGAGAGGGGGAUCGGCCACACUGGAACUGAGACACGGUCCAGACUCCUACGGGAGGCAGCAGUAGGGAAUCUUCCGCAAUGGGCGAAAGCUUGACGGAGCAACGCCGCGUGAGUGAUGAAGGUCUUCGGAUCGUAAAACUCUGUUAUUAGGGAAGAACAAAUGUGUAAGUAACUAUGCACGUCUUGACGGUACCUAAUCAGAAAGCCACGGCUAACUACGUG